rnacentral:rRNA from 1 species
CCUACGGGAGGCAGCAGUGGGGAAUAUUGCGCAAUGGGCGAAAGCCUGACGCAGCGACGCCGCGUGUGGGAUGACGGCCUUCGGGUUGUAAACCACUGUCGGGAGGGACGCGGUACCUCCAAAGGAAGCACCGGCUAACUCCGUGCCAGCAGCCGCGGUAAUACGGAGGGUGCGAGCGUUGUCCGGAAUCACUGGGCGUAAAGGGCGCGUAGGCGGCCUGAUAAGUAGGGGGUGAAAUCUUGCGGCUUAACAGCAAGGCUGCCUUCUAAACUGUCAGGCUAGAGCACAGUAGAGGCAGGUGGAAUUCCCGGUGUAGCGGUGGAAUGCGUAGAGAUCGGGAAGAACAUCAGUGGCGAAGGCGGCCUGCUGGGCUGUGCUGACGCUGAGGCGCGACAGCGUGGGGAGCAAACAGGAUUAGAUACCCUUGUAGUC